AGAGUUUGAUCAUGGCUCAGAUUGAACGCUGGCGGCGUGCCUAACACAUGCAAGUCGAGCGGUAACAGGUGUAGUAAUACAUGCUGACGAGCGGCGAACGGGUGAGUAAUGCUUUGGAAUCUUCCCAGUAGUGGGGAAUAACCAGUCGAAAGAUUGGCUAAUACCGCAUACGUCUGUGAAGAGAAAGCGGGGGAUCGUAAGACCUCGCGCUAUUGGAUGAGCCAAAGUCGGAUUAGCUAGUUGGUGGGGUAAUGGCCUACCAAGGCGACAAUCCGUAGCUGGUCUGAGAGGACGACCAGCCACACCGGAACUGAGACACGGUCCGGACUCCUACGGGAGGCAGCAGUGGGGAAUAUUGGACAAUGGGGGAAACCCUGAUCCAGCGACGCCGCGUGUGUGAAGAAGGCCUGCGGGUUGUAAAGCACUUUUAGUGGGGACAAAAAGUCACGAACUAAUACUUUGUGAUCUUGAUUUAACUCACAGAAAAAGCACCGGCUAACUCUGUGCCAGCAGCCGCGGUAAUACAGAGGGUGCGAGCGUUAAUCGGAAUUACUGGGCGUAAAGCGCGCGUAGACGGUUUGGUAAGUCAGAUGUGAAAUCCCUGGGCUCAACCUGGGAACUGCAUUUGAUACUGCCUGGCUAGAGUAUGGAAGAGGGAAGUGGAAUUUCCGGUGUAGCGGUGAAAUGCGUAGAUAUCGGAAGGAACACCAGUGGCGAAAGCGACUUCCUGGUCCAAUACUGACGUUCAUGUGCGAAAGCGUGGGGAGCAAACAGGAUUAGAUACCCUGGUAGUCCACGCCAUAAACGAUGACAACUAGAUGUUGGGAGGGUCUGCCUCUCGGUGUCGCAGCUAACGCGUUAAGUUGUCCGCCUGGGGAGUACGGCCGCA
rnacentral:rRNA from 1 species